AAUAAAUUAUUCCAGGCAUUGUUUGGUCCCAGCACACGCAACUGGAAAAACGCAAAGCGGACAAGAAAACACAAUAGCAUGUAAGCAGCAAAAUAUUCUCUUUAAGACCGCUGAAGAAGAUUCAGUUGGCAGAUGCCCAAGAAGGUCUUGUAUAUGGCUGUAGAAACCAGUUUGUCCGCAAUUUUUGAUUAAAAAGCUCAAAACAAAACACAGUAUAUAUAGCUACACUUAAGUACUCCACGGUGUACUUACCUCUGGUACAGUGACCUCAUACGGCGUGUUCAUGAAUUGCGGCGCAUUGUCAUUGACGUCGGACACCCGUACAAUAAGCGGAAUGUUUCUCUUCUUAUUCGUCUCCCGAAUCGUGCACGAGACCUAAAACAAAAAAUCAUUGCAUUUAAUUUUCACACGCAAGCAAGAACAAAAAUCUUCAGAUAAAACAUGUAAGAAUGUUGUAGUCGAGUGAGCUCGACUCCGCGAUACUCUGAACCCAGCUGUAAAAUAUAUAAUUCUUGUUUUAUUGCCAAA